GGAUUAGAUACCCUAUUAUUUUAAUGUUAAUUGUAAUAAACUUGAGUAGUAUUAGUUAUGAUCUUGAAACUUAAAGAAUUUGGCGGUAUUUUAUUCUGGUUAGAGGAAUCUGUUUCAUAAUUGAUAAUCCGCGUUGAACCUUACUUAGUUUUUAAAUUUGUAUAUCGCCGUUGUUGAGAAUAUUUUUAGGUAAAUUUCUUAAUAUUUAAUUUUAUAGUAUUUCAGGUCAAGGUGCAGUUUAUGGUUAAGUGAUAAAUGGAUUACAAUAUUAAUUUUGUAAACGGAUUAAGUUUUGUUGAAAACAUAUUUAUGAAGGUGGAUUUAAUUGUAAUAUUUUGUAGAUUGUAAAUGUGAUAUAGCUCUAAAAUAUGUACAUAUCGCCCGUCACUCUCAUUUAUAUAAAAUGAGAUAAGUC
rnacentral:rRNA from 1 species